rnacentral:snoRNA from 1 species
AUUCCAUGGUGAGGACACCUUCGCAGUAGGUCCUUGUAUCUCUCCCAUGCAUCGUAAAGAGUUUUAAAGUCCAUCUGCAUAAAACGAAGAGAUAUCAUUACGUAAUU